CACCGGCCCGUGAAGCCGGGCAGGGACGAAGUAGAGGCACGGCGUCGAUACUUGUAUUUAUACCAGUCCGGGGCUGCACCCUGAGGGAAGGUGUCACUGCUGGGAUGGGCGUGCGCAUGGAUGAGGUGACAAAGGCAAAUCAGUAGAGAGCUGAGCUGCGUGCCGUGUGUCGAAAGCAGCACUGGUGGUAGCCACGGAGCCGCUUGGCCACGUGAGCAAAUGCCCAGGGCGUUCCAAGAAGACGUCAGGCAAGAGGGCAUCUCUGAACAGCUGCGUCACCAAGCCAAGAGAGGAACUCAGAUUUGCUGAGUGACUACCGUAAACCAGGCACCUCCCAAACAAACACUGUCAUCAAGUCCUCAAAACAUCAUGGUCUCACUGAAACCUCACAACUUUCCGCAGACGGAGAAGGCUGGUGGCUGGCAGGUGGAACGUGGUUGGCAGAGGCAGGAUGCAGACUCAGACCUCUCCGUCUUCCUCGAGUGGCCCUUGCCACUCCUCCGGGUCAGGAGGACGGCGACCGACAGCUAAGGCCUCGCCUUGGGAAAGGCACAGGGAGUUCUCCCUGGCAAGAGCACAGGGUCCGGCUCUGAUGGUUUCAGUUCUUCAAAUUCAUUGCCGGCUCCCUGAACUUCCAGAUCAAGUCCAAACUCCUUAGCUUAGCACCAGGGGCACGAGAAUAAAGGUUCUAACCCAAGAUGGUCAUGGAUCCCUUGGAGAAGCAAAUAACAUGUUAUGUGUGAACUUGA